CCAGGGUCCAGUGUGGUAUUGUGUCUAAGCUGGUGUCUGGCCACCAGAGGCAGGCAUGCAGGGCCUUGGCUACUGUACUAGGUCUGCUGAUGGCCACAAGCCUUUACUCCCAGCUCUGCGUUAGCAGUGGGGGUGUCUGAAGGCUCAGGGGAUACACAAGUCCUCCUGGUUCCUGGGGAGGUGAUGAGUGAGAGUUUUGACCAGGAGCAGACACUGAGGAGAGCAAAGAUCACCUGGUACUCAUCAAGCAGGACUUCUAGAGGCAAAGCUCCUUACCUGUGGAAUUCAGAAGUAAUUAGACUUCCCUAUUAUCCAAAGCAGGCAUCUGGUACCAGCCUUCUUUCCCCAAAAUGUAUAAGUAACUAGAAUUUCUACACGCUCCACAAUGCAUAUGCGUCAGACCUCAUUUUGCAACCCUUGAUGACAUCAAGGCACCAGAAUGUCUACAAAUGUAAUCAGCUAUCAUGACCUACAUGGCUAAUAUGGUCCAAACUUACCCUUAAGCUCCUGCUUUAAGGUCCAUACACACCCCUAAGGAACAUCCACUGUGGUGGGCUCAGUUUUCUCUUGCUGAGGCUCCCGCUGAGCUCCUCUGCAGUGUUCUUUCUAAUAAAACUUUCCUUUUCAUUCAGUC